rnacentral:rRNA from 1 species
CGAAAGCCUGACGGAGCAAUACCGCGUGAGGGAUUGACAGCCUGUGGGUUGUAAACCUCUUUUGUCAAGGAGGAAGUUCUGACGUUACUUGACGAAUAAGCAUCGGCUAACUCCGUGCCAGCAGCCGCGGUAAUACGGAGGAUGCAAGUGUUAUCCGGAAUCACUGGGCGUAAAGAGUCUGUAGGUGGUUUAAAAAGUCUGUUAUUAAAGAUUGAAGCUUAACUUCAAGAAUGUCGCAGAAACUUUUAGACUUGAGUAUGGUAGGGGUAGAGGGAACUUCCAGUGGAGCGGUGAAAUGCGUAGAUAUUGGAAAGACCACCGAUGGCGAAGGCACUCUACUGGGCCAUUACUGACACUGAGAGACGAAAGCUAGGGUAGCA